GCUCAAGUUCAGUUGGUAGAGCAUGAGACUUUUAAUCUCAGGGUUGUGGGUUUGAGCCCCAUGAUGAGCA